AACCUCCGCAAUGUGAGAAAUCGCGACGGGGGGAUCCCAAGUGCCAUUCUUAACGGGAUGGCUUUUCAUUAGUGUAAAGAGCUUUUGGAAUAAGAGCUGGGCAAGACCGGUGCCAGCCGCCGCGGUAACACCGGCAGCUCUAGUGGUAGCAAUUUUUAUUGGGCCUAAAGCGUCCGUAGCCGGUUUAAUAAGUCUCUGGUGAAAUCCUGUAGCUUAACUGUGGGAAUUGCUGGAGAUACUAUUAGACUUGAGACCGGGAGAGGUUAGAGGUACUCCCAGGGUAGAGGUGAAAUUCUGUAAUCCUGGGAGGACCGCCUGUUGCGAAGGCGUCUAACUGGAACGGUUCUGACGGUGAGGGACGAAAGUUAGGGGCGCGAACCGGAUUAGAUACCCGGGUAGUCCUAACUGUAAACGAUGCGGACUUGGUGUUGGGUGGCUUUGAGCUGCUCCAGUGCCGAAGGGAAGCUGUUAAGUCCGCCGCCUGGGAAGUACGGUCGCAAGACUGAAACUUAAAGGAAUU
rnacentral:rRNA from 1 species